CCUUACCCGCUGAACUUAAGCAUAUCAUUAAGGGGAGGAAAAGAAACUAACAAGGAUUCCCUCAGUAACGGCGAGUGAAGCGGGAAGAGCUCAAAUUGAAAACCGCCGCCCCAUUGGGGUGUUCGGGUUGUAAUCUAAAGAGGUACAUCCAGCGCUGUGGUCCGGGUCUAAGUCCUGCUGGAAUGCAGUAUCAGAGAGGGUGACAAUCCCGUCUUUGGCUCGACGCCCUACCGCGUACGGAGUGCUUUCUAAGAGUCGUGUAGGUCGGGAUUCCUGCACUAAUCGGGUGGUAAGCUCCAUCUAAGGCUAAAUAUUGGCGAGAGACCGAUAGCGAACAAGUACCGUGAGGGAAAGAUGAAAAGAACUUUGAAAAGAGAGUUAACAAGUACCUGAAAUUGCUAAGAGCGAAGCGAAUGAAUCUAGUCAUUUGCUGCGAGUCCAACCUGCCAAGUCGGAUGAUUCCCUGAUGUGUGUGGUUAAACCGCACUGAGGGGUGAUUUUCUGCUGGUAGAGACGGUCUUGUAGCAGUGUCACGGUCAUUUCUGUUUGCAGGAGAAAGUUCCAGGAAGGUGAGUCGUAGCGUUCCUCGCGUUCGUUACUUCAGUUAUAGCCUGGGAUCAUACUGCUUAUGGGAUUGAGGAGCAUAAGUCGCUGUGUCUGUUCUGCUUAUUGCUGAUCUCGGCUUCAGUUAACACAGUGUGUUGUCUGGGGUUUGAGGUUGGUACAUUUGUAGUUCUAGGUCUGCCACUUCGCGAUCGUGACGAAAUAGUUUUAUUUGACCCGUCUUGAAACACGGACCAAGGAGUCUAACGCAUAUGCGAGUUUUUGGGUGUUUAAAACCCCGAAGCGCAAUGAAAGUAAAGCGUGCUUGCACGUGAGGUAGGAACCGUAAGGGGCACUAUCGACCGAUCAGAUCCUUCGGGUGAAGAUUUGAGUAAGAGCAUAUUCGUUGGGACCCGAAAGAUGGUGAUCUAUGCCUGAACAGGGUGAAGCCAGGGGAAACUCUGGUGGAGGCUCGUAGCGAUACUGACGUGCAAAUCGUUCGUCUGAUUUGGGUAUAGGGGCGAAAGACUAAUCGAACCAUCUAGUAGCUGGUUCCCGCCGAAGUUUCCCUCAGGA
rnacentral:rRNA from 1 species